rnacentral:lncRNA from 1 species
CCCGUCUCUACUAUUAGCUGGGCAUGGUGGCAGCGCCUGUGGUCCCAGCUACUCGGGAGGCUGAGGCAGGAGAAUCGCUUGAAACCAAACAACGUUACAGGCUCUGUGAAGGCUUUCCUGCCCCAGAGUCAGCAGAGGAUUGUUCCCUUGUUCCACUCCCUGAACAUGUGGUACACAAACGGCUUUGCCACUGGGUGCCACUGGAUCAGGGGCCUCCCAUGACCCUCUCACUGGACCAAGGGACUCUCAUGAAC